UUCAGAUUCUAGAACAUUUUAUAUUAUGAUUCUGCUUCAUCUAAGAAUUUUCAGAGUUCUUUAAUGGCUACAGAAUUCAGUUCAAACUCCUUUAGGCAAAUGCAACGUUGAAAACCAUUCAUUCUGGAGGGUGACUUAACUCAGUUGGUAGAGUGAUAGCCUAGUAUGCACCAAGUCCUGGGUAAGAACCUGACACUGUAGAGAAACAGUUGCAGUAGAUACACUUGUGAUCCUAACACCUGUGAUAUAGAAGCCAGAGGAUCAGAAGAUUCAGGUCACCCUCAGCUACACUGUGGAUUCUAGGAAAGCUAUUUGAGACCCCAUCUCAAAAAUAAAACUAAGCAAGAAAACAAAUAAAAAGUUCACAUGUUUAGUAAUCUUCCCUCGCUUACUGUAGGAUUAAGGAGUGAAAGGGGGGGCAUUUUACCAUCCCAGGAACAUCUAGUAUCAACGAAGGUGUUGUAUGUGUCAUAGCUGACACAAUAAAGUGGAUGGGAGUUGUUAGGGUUUACUUUAAGCUGAAAUGAGGGGGUGCCUUAUUAUUCCAUGUCGGCUGCAUCUUAGAGGGUUUGCUGCCUUCUUAGCAUGUAUUAUAUACUCUUCCAUCACCCCACAUUGCAUUGUCCUGGGCUUUAGGGGUGGAAACGUAACAGAAUCUAACAUGACUCAUGUCUUCCUUGCCCUUGGACUAAGUUGAUAGUUCAUGGUCUUGGUGAAGAGUAGAAAAAAACACAGAGAUUUUUGCAGAGAAAUUUAGGUCAGGGGCACUCUCAGAUUCUUUCCAGGAUGGAUAAAAGGAGGCCUGAUGGCCCAGGAGCUCCUGGUAUCAUCCAUUUGGGGAAUAAGAGGAAGCCUCGCUCCAGGAGGAUCCUACACUGUGACAAGAUGCAGAAGACUGAUCGGACUGAUUCUCUGAUGAGUUUCUGAGCUGGGAGAUAAAGUAUUGCUUCAUGACUGAACAUCAGGUGCAGGUGCUGUGAUGUGUUGAAGAUAAAAUGCAAAUAAGGGGCCAGGGAGCUGGCUCAGCAUUUAAGACCACUGGCUGCUCUUCCGGAGGACCUGUGUUUGAUUUCCAGCACCUACACCCAUCUGUAACUUCUCGUCCAAGAGAUCAGACAUCUGAAGUCACCAGACAUGCAUGUGGUACACAGAUUGAAUGUAGACAAAACACCUAUGUGUGUGAAAAAAUAAGUGCAAACAAGAGCUGGUAUUUAACAUGGAAUCUAUAUUUGCAUAUGGUCAAAUAACCUGCUAAAUAAAUGACUAAAUGUAGUG
rnacentral:lncRNA from 1 species